GGAUGUGAGGGCGAUUUGGCUGUGAAGUCUGUCAGCUCAUGGAUUGCCAGGGUUGAUUCUGCCUGCAUGGGUGUCCCUUUCUUCCCUCACCACUCCAUGUGCGUCCCUCCUGCAUGCUCAAUGGAAGAGGAUGACCAUCCCCAGUAGAUAGAGAAGGACAGUUUUCUUUUCAAGGGUGUACAAGUAGCUCUGCUCUCCUGUUAGAACCUCCAAAAGAAUAAUGACAGAAAUAUGAGCAACUUUUUGCUAGUAAAUUUGACAAUAUGAGUAAAUCGUCAGAUU
ensembl:misc_RNA 7SK 7SK RNA